GCCGGUUUGGCUCAGUGGAUAGAGCGUUGGCCUGAAGGGUCAACUGUGGACUGAAGGGUCCCCAGUUCAAUUCUGGGCAGGGGCA
rnacentral:tRNA from 1 species